rnacentral:lncRNA from 1 species
UGGGAUUUCAAACAAAACAUUGUUAACAUAAAAAAUUGCAAACAUAAUCAUAUCAUUGAGGACAUCGUUCCUUUCUUUUACAUUGCUCCUCUCUCUUUGUUAACGAGAAUUCUCCGGUGGUACAAAUCCAUGGAUGAAGAACGAACCAGCAUCAUCAAAUUGAGCUUUGAUUCAUCUUCUACGAUCUUUGGAGAAGAAGAAGAAAUAUCCAGAGUUGAUUUUUCUAAAAUUAUCGAUCUCGAUACACCGAGAUUCAAAGCCUUACAGUGGAUUCUCACAAGCUCUUGACUCAAUACUUCAAGCAAUAGUCUUGAUCUAUAACCUUACGCAGACCUCAAUGUUCUUUAACCUAGAUUUGCAUUUAUGGUUACUUGUCUUUGGUCAUUGAUUUACUACAUUUGUUGGUCGUGAGGGGGAACAAGUUUUUGGAGUUGUUUGUUCAUAUCUUUGCAAAUUGCAGCAUGUUCAUGAAGAGUUUCUUGGAAAAGGGAGAGAAGUUUGAGAAUGACGAAGCAGCAAAGAAGUCUUAAGAAUUGUGGGAUUGGGAAGAAGAAGGCAAUGAGAGCCAAAGCAGGACCAAGACGUUCUUGAAUGAUUUGUGUUCCAUGGUUACAUCUAUGACAUGCUUCUUCUCCAGCUUCUUGUUCUGAUCUUGUCAUUAGAGAUGAAUUGUGGCCAUGAAAAGUAAGAGGAGUAGUAAUGUGAACUUGAUUAUCUUUUUAUGAUCCCAAAUUCUCAAAAUCUUUCUUAAGCACUCUGAUCUCUGGUUCUCUUUUUACUAUAUAUCAAACUCUCAUCACCACUUGAUCAUUAAUCUUUUUUGUUCCUAUUUGAGGAAUUUUUGGAUAGUGAUGAAAAGCUUCAUUGAGUGGCUGCUGCUCCGAGUAAAACGAGUCAUGAUGAUGAGUAAAAGUCGAAGCUUCGUGAUGCUGAUCGCCCUUGUUCUUGUUCAGAGAAUUAAUGGAGUUGAUUGGAAGCUAAAGGAUAAAGGGAAACAGAGAAAAACGCCAAUAAUCUUGAUUCAUGAGUUUUUAAAUUGUUCCCAGAAUUAAAUUUGAAUGUCACACAAAAUACUCCAAUAUCCUAGAAGUUUCGUAACAAAU